rnacentral:rRNA from 1 species
GAUGAACGCUGGCGGCGUGCCUAAUACAUGCAAGUCGAGCGAACAGACGAGGAGCUUGCUCCUCUGACGUUAGCGGCGGACGGGUGAGUAACACGUGGAUAACCUACCUAUAAGACUGGGAUAACUUCGGGAAACCGGAGCUAAUACCGGAUAAUAUAUUGAACCGCAUGGUUCAAUAGUGAAAGACGGUUUUGCUGUCACUUAUAGAUGGAUCCGCGCCGCAUUAGCUAGUUGGUAAGGUAACGGCUUACCAAGGCGACGAUGCGUAGCCGACCUGAGAGGGGGGUCAGCCCCCCUGGAAGAGAGACACGGUGCAGACGCCUACGGGAGGCAGCAGUGGGGGAGAUUGUCCCAUGGGGGGAAAACUGUUCCAGGCAAACCGCGGGGGGGGAGAAGGGCUUCGGGUUGUAAAAACCUUUUGUUGGGAGAGAAAAAAAGCAGUUUAAUACCCUGCUCUUCUGACGGUGCCCAAAGAAUAAACACCGGCUAACUUCGUG